rnacentral:sRNA from 22 species
AAACCACACACGCUUCUACCUUGUAGAAGACUUGCAGACAGGGACGGGGAACCCACCUGCCCACCGCGGGCACCGGAGGUAACUCCUUGGGGUGAAGCCGAAGUUCUCCUUCGGCAGGGCACAUCCUCCGCCCUAACCCGACAGCUAACCUCGACGGCGACAGAUGAGAGGACAU